GCGUGUUCACAAGAUAAUCUCUAGUCGUCGGUAGCUAAUUCGACUUGUUCUCGAGAAAAAUGGAGAGGAUGAUAUCAUCGUGCAUAACGUUGAUAAAGAAUUUGAAUUUAGAAUUGGCAUGACAUUUGCUAACGAGGAUGAAGCUUAUAAUGCAUACAAUGCGUUUGCAAUUUGCAAGGGAUUUGGAGUGCGAAAAGGACAAAAAUCAAACAAUAGCAAGGGAAUAUUACG